UAGUCCACGCCGUAAACGAUGUCUACUAGCAGUUUAUCUCGUUAAGAGAUGUCUUGCAAAGCUAACGCAUUAAGUAGACCGCCUGGGGAGUACGGCCGCAAGGUUAAAACUCAAAUGAAUUGACGGGGGCCCGCACAAGCGGUGGAGCAUGUGGUUUAAUUCGAUGCAACGCGAAGAACCUUACCAUCCCUUGACAUCCAGAGAAUUUUUCAGAGAUGAAUUAGUGCCUUCGGGAACUCUGAGACAGGUGCUGCAUGGCUGUCGUCAGCUCGUGUUGUGAAAUGUUGGGUUAAGUCCCGCAACGAGCGCAACCCUUAUCCUUAGUUGCCAGCGCGUAAUGGCGGGAACUCUAAGGAGACUGCCGGUGACAAACCGGGAGGAAGGUGGGGACGACGUCAAGUCAUCAUGGGCCCUUACGGGGAUGGGGCUACACACGUGCUACAAU
rnacentral:rRNA from 1 species